CCCGAGAUGAGUUCUCCCUGAGACUUUAAGUCUCCUGAAGGAACGUUAAAGACGAUGACGUUGAUAGGCCGGGUGUGUAAGCGCAGCGAUGCGUUGAGCUAACCGGUACUAAUGAACCGUGAGGCUUAACCUU
rnacentral:rRNA from 1 species